GGUGUAUUUGAGAGAAGGAAAACAGGACACCUACAGUUGAGUUUCUAGAAUAAGAAUUGUGUUAUAUAGCUAUCCAAGUCCUUUCCUUAUAUCAACGACUAUUCUUAGUUCUAAGAGGAAGAUAGAUAAUUGCAGAGAGUUAGAGAGAUGAUGGAAAAUAAGAGGGAAAUAGUUACUCACUGAUUACAAGCAAUGAAGAUAUGAAGAGAAGGUUAGAGCUGUGAUAAUUGAUUGAAUAGGAUGAUGAUGAUGACUUUGUUAAUGGAGAUGAUGCAAACUAGCUAAACUAUCCAAGUUUCAGAGACAGAUCAGAGUUGUGUAGCGAAAGCCCCAAGGAAUUGACUCCGUUAAAUAGUUAACUUCUGCUAUGUUUAUUAUGUUGUUUAUUCUAUUUGCAAACAAAAUGACUAUUGUAUAAGUUCAUGUAUAUAUAUUUCCGAGCGAGGUUAGUUUUGGGUUAAGUUUUAUAGCA